CCAAGUUACUUUUGGCCGGAUGUGCUCUCAAGGACGACCAAAUGGCCGUACUAGAGAAGCUGCCCAACCUGAAAAGUCUUCAACUGUGGUUUAAUGUGUUUGAGGAAAAUACAAAAGUAUUGGUUUUCUCCGUUGGAAGCUUUCCUCGUCUUCAGUUUCUUAGACUUGUGACUUUGCAAGGAAUAACGGAGUGGAGGGUGGAGGAAGGAGCCAUGCCUUGUCUCUGCAAAUUGGUCAUUAGUCAUUGCACAGAAUUGAGUACGGUUCCAGAUGGGCUGAGACACCGUACUACCCUCAAGGAAUUGAAGAUUUGGAAUAUGCCUAAACUAUUCUGUAGUAAGCUUGAGGAAGGAGGAGAAGACUUCCAUAAAGUCCAACACAUCCCUUCCCUUAUAAUCCAGAAUCCGAAUUAUUAAAAGUGACCAUGCCUGUACCAGCACGUAGGCCCACAAUGUACAGAUCAAUGUAUAAUUUUCUCAUCUGGCAUGAUUAUCUAAGGAGGCAUCGCUGUUGGUCCAACAAUGGUUUAGUUAUUACUAGCAAGAUAUCCCGGGUGAUGCUACGAGUGUAUCAUCCACAUUAUUCAAUUCGAC